UUUUAGUUCGGGAGAGAGUCCGGGAGAGAUUUCCGCGAGACAAGGUUCAGGGAUGCUGCUUUGUAUGGAAGGGGAGAGGGAAGGCUGGAAGAUGGUUUUUCGAAACCAGAAUGAUUCGGCCAAUGACAAUCCUCAGAUUUCCGAGGACAGCCGACGAGAUUUGGGAAAUGACGUACUUCCUGUAAGUACGUUUGACUCCACUUUCCCUGAUCUGAGGAUUACUAAGUUUGCUCACUUUGUUCGUGACUGCAGAAAAUAGUGGAAGUGCGCGUGCUCGUUUCACUAAUUCUAAAGGUCAUAGUAAAACUGUAAAGUAGUAAACCAAAGGUAGCGUGUUGUGCGUGUGUGUGUUCGAGUUACAGUUACCCGUUCUCCCGCAGGCAAUUCGGAAAAGCCGCUUUAUAUGCCGCUCAAAGAGCUCGUAUUCAACAUCCGCAGCACGAACAGCAAAAUCACCCGUAGAGACGGUCAUCAGCAGCAGCCAACAAAUUUGAACCAAUAGUUGGUGAGUCCGUUCCAAGCUUUUUUUUUGUGCGGUGGGUGACGUCCGGUGAGGACGUCACGGAGUUUUUUAUAUAUUGCCCUAAGUCGGGAUGAAACGGACGGCGAGGAAAGUUCGCGUCCGAGACAACCAUUAAAAGGUGAACUGCAAUUGCCGAGCGUCAUUGUCGACGUCGCCAUACAAUGCGCUCAAUAGAUAAAUAAAAGACCCCGGGGUAACAAAAGCUCGAAUAAGCACACACUUACCUUAGAAAGCUUUCAAACUAGAAUUCAAAUGGAAAGGAAUAGGAUAGCAGGAGUUAGGAAACAAAUGUGAAUUCGAAUAAAUUAUAUGUUACUUGUUCAAUGAAAUUGGUACUUUACGCAAAUAUAUGUUGGUGUCGAAUGCUAGCAAGGAAGGAAGCUUUGAUAACGUGAAUGCAUUUUAAUGUUGCAUAUUAUGAAUUGUGUCGUGAUCGUUUCGUUCUGUCUGUGGCGAAUGAGAUUUUCCAUUGUUUGCGCUUUCUCUGGACGGGUAGCGGCCUGGCCCAUGAUGAGCGUUAUUCAGGCAUGAGUGGAGUCUACUGAAUUCUUUGAGGUUUAAAUCUGUUUGAUGGGGGUUUAAUUGAAAGUCUUGUUUUGGUUAGAAUUCCGUGGCCUGGCUGGAGCGAUCCGUACUUUCAUUACGGAAGUAGUGUACUUGAACUCGCCCUAAAAGGGAGUCUCAACCGGGCAACUUUAAUCUUGGCGGGCAGUCUCCUUCGGGAGUGGCGCUUAAGCUGCACGCUUGUAGAGGAUCGGCCAGCCC